CAGCAGCCGCGGUAAUACGUAGGGUGCGAGCGUUCAUCGGAUUUACUGGGCGUAAAGUGUGCGCAGGCGGCCCGUUAAGACAGGUGUGAAAUCCCUGGGCUCAACCUAGGAAUUGCGCUUGUGACUGGCGGGCUCGAGUACGGUAGAGGGGGGUGGAAUUCCUGGUGUAGCAGUGAAAUGCGUAGAGAUCAGGAGGAACACCGAUGGCGAAGGCAGCCCCCUGGGCCUGUACUGACGCUCAUGCACGAAAGCGUGGGGAGCAAACAGGAUUAGAUACCCUGGUAGUCAACGCCCUAAACGAUGGGUACUAGCCGUUUGGUGCGCGAUAGCGCUGAGUGGCGAAGCUAACGCGUGAAGUACCCCGCCUGGGGAGUACGGCCGCAAGGUUGAAACUUAAAGGAAUUGGCGGG
rnacentral:rRNA from 1 species